rnacentral:rRNA from 1 species
GGGCCCGCACAAGCGGUGGAGCAUGUGGUUUAAUUCGAUGAUACGCGAGGAACCUUACCAGGGCUUAAAUGUAGUAUGACCGGCUUGGAAACAGGCCUUCUCUUCGGAGCAGAUUACAAGGUGCUGCAUGGUUGUCGUCAGCUCGUGCCGUGAGGUGUUAGGUUAAGUCCUGCAACGAGCGCAACCCCUAUUCUUAGUUGCCAGCGGUUCGGCCGGGGACUCUAAGAAGACUGCCAGCGCAAGCUGAGAGGAAGGUGGGGAUGACGUCAAAUCAUCACGGCCCUUACGUCCUGGGCUACACACGUGCUACAAUGGUAGAGACAGAGGGCAGCGAGCCGGCGACGGUUAG